rfam:Candidatus Coatesbacteria bacterium 4484_99 ex4484_99_scaffold_4368, whole genome shotgun sequence.
GGAGAGGUGCCGGAGCGGUUGAACGGGGCGGUCUCGAAAACCGUUGAGGGCUUGUCCCUCCGGGGGUUCGAAUCCCCCCCUCUCCG